rnacentral:rRNA from 1 species
ACCUUCGGGCCUCUUGCCAUCAGAUGUGCCCAGAUGGGAUUAGCUUGUUGGUGAGGUAACGGCUCACCAAGGCGACGAUCCCUAGCUGGUCUGAGAGGAUGACCAGCCACACUGGAACUGAGACACGGUCCAGACUCCUACGGGAGGCAGCAGUGGGGAAUAUUGCACAAUGGGCGCAAGCCUGAUGCAGCCAUGCCGCGUGUAUGAAGAAGGCCUUCGGGUUGUAAAGUACUUUCAGCGGGGAGGAAGGUGUUGUGGUUAAUAACCGCAGCAAUUGACGUUACCCGCAGAAGAAGCACCGGCUAACUCCGUGCCAGCAGCCGCGGUAAUACGGAGGGUGCAAGCGUUAAUCGGAAUUACUGGGCGUAAAGCGCACGCAGGCGGUCUGUCAAGUCGGAUGUGAAAUCCCCGGGCUCAAC